UACGAAGGGGGCUAGCGUUGCUCGGAAUUACUGGGCGUAAAGGGCGCGUAGGCGGACAGUUUAGUCAGAGGUGAAAGCCCAGGGCUCAACCUUGGAAUUGCCUUUGAUACUGGCUGUCUUGAGUUCGGGAGAGGUGAGUGGAAUGCCGAGUGUAGAGGUGAAAUUCGUAGAUAUUCGGCGGAACACCAGUGGCGAAGGCGACUCACUGGACAGACAUUGACGCUGAGGUGCGAAAGCGUGGGGAGCAAACAGG
rnacentral:rRNA from 1 species